rnacentral:snRNA from 1 species
AGCUUUGCACUCAUAACCAAUGAGGUUUAUCUGAGGUGAAAUUAUUGCUAAUUGAAAACUUUUCCCAGUGCCCUGCCAUGAUGACUUGAAAUAUAGUUGGCAUUGGCAAUUUUUGACAAUCUCUAUGGAGA